rnacentral:misc_RNA from 1 species
UGUUGGUGAGUGUGUGUAUGUAUGCAUGUGUAUGUGUGUUUAUCCACCAAUACCUAUUUUUAAUGGUGUUGACUUGUUGCAGCCGUCGUAACUUAGCGGUUUGACAAAUAGAUACCGAUAGAAUAAGUGUCAGAUUUUAAAAUUUAUUAGUACUGCUGCUUAUUCGUUCAACUGAAAGCCUUCGCAUGCGAUGCUCCAGCACGGCCGCAGUCAGAUGAAUGAAACAGACACAAGAACGAUAAAACAUAAAAGGUCAUUACAAUAAAAAAAAAAAUUUUUUAAUAAUUAAAUAAUUAAUUAAACAAAUAAUAGGUUUUUUUUCACUUUUUGCCUCCAGUGGCCACCAGGUGGCUGCAACAAGCUGAGAAAGAGAGAGAGAGUUACGUCCCUUCGUUGGCCAUUUUUUCCCCUUUAAAUAAAUUCUUCAUCAAAGUCUUAAAAAUAUUUCCCAUUUCCCAUUAAAAUACAAAUCCAUUCUUCCAUCGAAAUAAUGCAUCUGUCCGUGCCGGAUAUUCUUGAUGUCUGGCCACAGCUUGACUCGCCUCUCGCCGCAGCCGAUCGCUCACAGCAAUCCGUAGGUGUUGCUGGAAUGAGACUGGUCAGUUAGGGAGCUCUGUGAGUAACAGUUAUACAUACAUCUACAUAUAUACGUAUAUAUAUAUACAUAUAUAUAUAUAUAUGUAAUCACACACACAUAUAAGCAUAUAGAUAUGUGUGUAUAAUUUUCAACUGCUGUCCUUUUUCUUUCUCUCUCUUCCCGUGUACUAUGUCUUGUGUAUACUUUUGGCUGAGGUUAAAGUAGAGAAAGAGAAAGAAGCAGUCAAACUCGAGAAAGAAGUCCGUUGGGAGUUUUGUUUUGAUAGACAAGAUGUCAAGUGAUAACGAUGAUGAUGAGAAAACCCUUACCGUCGUACUGUCGGAUGAUAAUACUUUGGAGAAAAGUCCAGAGAGAAAAGAAGAGGCCUCUGCAAAUGAUGAGGAUGUCACUGAUAGCAAUCCACCAGCGUCACCUCCGCCCCCAGCCCUCAGGCCAAGGGCCGCUAAGAAAUCUGCUAAAAUGUUGAACAAAUUGUUGAGUUCCAGUCAGGAACCAAGGAGGCGACCUGUCCGAAGCACAAGGCCCAAACGCAAGCUGCUAACUGAGUUCCGACCCUAUAAAUGUGAAUACUGUGGGAAAUACUUCCCCAAGGCCAAGCAAUUGUCCAUACAUGUUCGCACUCACACGGGCGAGAAACCCUACAAAUGCGAGCAGUGUGAUCGUGCGUUCACCCAGUCGCAUCACCUUGUCACCCAUCUACGAACCCAUACCAAAGACCGCCCUUACCCCUGCGUCUGCUGUCCUCGGGCAUUCACCACAUCCAGUAGCCUCACUCGUCACGUACGCACUGCUCAUUUACACGAACGUCCCUUCAAAUGUACAUUCUGUGACAGGGCCUUCGCAUUCCAGGAUCGCUUGGACUCCCACAUUCGUACCCAUACCGGUGUAAGGCCCUUUCAGUGCCCCCUAUGUCCACGUGCGUUUGCUGUCUCCUAUCGACUAACUGCUCACAUUUUCAUCCACCGUCACGGCAAACCCCACAAAUGCUCAUACUGUCCGAAAGCGUUUGCCGUUGCUUCUCAUCUGACAAAACACAUUCGUGUGCACACUGGGGAACGGCCCUUCAAAUGUGUGCACUGCGAGAAGUCGUUUACCCAGCCGUAUCACCUGACCAUACACCUGAGGAACCAUUCCGGGGAAAGACCUUAUAAAUGCACUUACUGCACGGAAGCGUUUAAACGAUCUGGUGACCUGCGUGCCCAUAUCCGAAUCCACACGGGUGAGAGGCCCUUCCAGUGCAAAGUUUGUGGGAAACAGUUCACACAGUCGAGUAACUUGUCGAAGCACCAGAAAAUACACACCAAUGACCGUCCUUUCCGGUGCUCUCACUGUGAUCGUGGUUUCAUCCGAGCCAGUAGUGUCAUUGCCCACGAACGGACACACACUGGCGAAAAGCCAUACAACUGUGGCCUGUGUCCCAAAGCUUUCAUGUCGAUGGGGAGCCUGACAAAACACGUCAAACUGAAUCAUGGCGAAGAAGACGGAGUCGAUUCCAACGAGGCUUUUGCUAAAUCUUACAAGUGCGAGUUCUGUCCUGAAGCAUUCCGAAGGCGCUGGGAAUUGAAGGACCACUUUCAAGAGACCCACUCAAAAGACAGACCCUAUAAAUGUGACCAGUGUGACAAAGCUUUCACUCAAAGUACCCACUUAACCUCCCACAAACGCACGCAUGUAUCAGAGUCCACUGUUACCACCAAAACAACUGUGGACUCUACAAAUGAGGCUGAAAAGAAAAUUGGUUCCGACGAAAACGAAAAUGCUGACAAUCAGAAGGGUGGCAGCCAAGAUGGUACUGGAUCUGAGACAAAAUCUUCAACUGCUGAUGUAAAACCUGAGAAACCUUUCAAAUGUGAAUACUGCACCUACACAUGUCGACGACGGCACGACUUGACCAAACACACCCGUAAACAUACAGGGGUUUCGCCCCAUCAGUGUGAGUUCUGUGCCAAGACCUUUACUCAGCGAGGAAACUUACUGUCGCACAGACGCAUACAUACGGGCGAGAAGCCAUACAAGUGCGACUACUGCGAAAGUCGGUUCCGCUCCAGCAGCCAUUAUAGUACACAUCUGAAACUACACACGGGGGACAUGCACAAAUGCCAACACUGUGGUAAGCAGUUCACAAAACUCGAUCAUUAUCAGAAGCAUCUGCGAAUUCACACGGGCGAGAAGCCCUUUCGCUGCGAAUACUGCGGGAAAGGGUUUUCUGCUUCCGAAUACUUGACUGUGCAUCUGCGCAUUCAUACAGGGGUUAAACCCUACAACUGCAGCCACUGCGGGGAAGCGUUCAGGCGUGUCGGUGACCUACGUGUCCACGAAAUGAUUCAUACUGGUUACAGGCCGUAUAAAUGUCAGUUUUGUGAUAAAGGGUUCCGGAAGUCUUACGGGUUGACUGCCCACCUGCGCAGUCAUACUGGCGAGCGCAACCACAAGUGCGAGCUCUGCGACAAGUCGUACGGGACGGCAUCGCAUCUCAAGAAGCAUCAGCUUAUUCACAACACCGAUCGUCCGUACAAGUGCAAGUACUGCAACAAGACUUUUGCCGAGUCCAGGAACCUUGCCAUCCACACUCGGAGUCACUCGGGGGACCGUCCGUUUGGCUGUUCAUUUUGCGACAAGUCGUUUACGCGGCUCGACAAGUUGACCAUUCACCAACGCACCCACACUGGCGACCGUCCUUACAUGUGCCGCUACUGUGACAAAUCUUUCACCGCGGCCUACGGCCUCAACAAACACAUGAAGACCCACUCGCACGAGAAGAAAUACGCCUGUCCAUGGUGCGGAGACGACUACCUGCAGUUUCCUGCCCUCAAUGCCCACAUGGCCACUCACACUGGCCUCGACAAGAACAAAUGCAAUCUGUGUGGCAUGCAAUUCUCCGACACCGACCAGCUAAACAAGCACCUGUGGGCCUGUUUCUUAACGCUAGGAAGUCCCAGUCAGCCUCCUCCAGAGAACACGCAAGCAGCUAGUUCCUCGGAAGAGGCGAACCUGUCCGAACCGUGCAACGAUCUAACGUCGCCACCACAGCCACUGCCGCCACCACCACCACCACCACCUUUACAACCCAGUAACAACACGAAAAACGAAGUGGCCCCCAGAUGGCCGCACCCGAGCACAAACUACUCUAUGAACCGUAUCAUUUCCAAGACUGUUCCCCCUGUGUCCCCUCCUGGGGCAAAUUCACGAAAUGCUGAUUCUCAAUGCACUUACGAAUAUGCUGGCAACAUGUUUUUGUUAUGAAGGUCCUCAUCGUGUCCAGCUUGGGCAGUAACAGGAGAGUAUUGGGCCUAAAUGCCUCUGCACCAGUUUCAGUUUCGUCGCUCCACACACUUUGCAUUCAGUAUUUCUCGCCGCCACCACCAUACUGGGGGCUAAGUUUGACUUUUAAACCCCUGCCCAUGACAGGCAGGGUGUUAUGUGGAACGAUAAAACUAACACCCUCAAAGUACCCCACAACCAGUUGACAAGGAUUAAACAAGAGACAAUGCAUUCUUCAACUGAUAAACCAAAGCAACCACCCUAAACACCUACCCACUUAACCACCUUCUUUCCAAACUCUAACCUACAAUCUAUGUUUUUUUGUUUUUUUUUUUUUGUUUUGUG